CCGUGUCCCUGGACAAUUGUUACAGCUCUGGGAAAAAUCCAAGAGGCUGCCAUCUUGGUGAGCUAGUGCAAGCCAUCCACAAGGAGGGGAGGAGAACUAACCUUUGAUCAGACCUUUGAAAACAAGAUUCACACAAGUGCCUCCACAGACCUCAGCUUGGCAACCACAGGCCCCAACCCAGACACUGGAGCUAGGAUGGGCAUUUGGACUCAGAACAUUCACUGCCUCAGGGGACAGAUGACCUACCAGAAGUUAGAAGUUGGUUCUUGUCUUCUGAGUGUCAAAAACUGAUGUCUGUGUGUGUAUGUGUGGGAGCGGGGGUGGUGGUGAAAAGAACCAAAUAUUUGGAAGAUGCAGGAUGCUCCAAGUCCCCAGGCCAGAUGAUGCUUCCUCGGCUGAGGGAAGGUGAGUGAUGGGAGGAGUGUGGGGGUGCGUGUUGGAGAUGGGCCAUGUACUUGCCCUGACCCCUCCCUGCUUUCUACUGAAAUAGGUUUGGGGGAUCUGGGAACAGAGAGGACUUCCCGGUCCCUAGGCUAGAGGCUGAGGAGUUGGAAAAGACUCCAGUCUUUUCCCGGAGCAAGUGUAGCAUUGACUGCCUGGAGACUCACAGCACAGUCCUAGCGCAGCCUCGAAUCUUCUGGGGCUGGGCCAACUCCUCUGUCCACCAGCUAAGCCUCACUCUGGAGGCAGGGUAACCAAUCCACCCAAUUCUCCUGCUGCUGGACCCCUCCUGGACUACCAGGUGGGCUGUGCACCUUUUGUUUGGGGGAGGAAAAUGUUUAUCUGAGUUUUUGUUUUUUUUUUUACACAAGCAUAUUAGUCACUGAAACUCUUUGGGUCGGUCCGACUCUUUGCGACCCCAUGGACUGUAGCCUGCCAGGCUCCUCCGUCCAUGGGAUUUUCCAGGCAAGAGUACUGGAGUGGGCUGCCAUUCCCUUCUCCAGGGGAUCUUCCCUACCCAGGGAUCGAACCUGGGUCUCCUGCGUUGCAGACAGACGCUUUACCAUCUGAGCCACCUGGGAAGCCCUAAACAGUCCAUGGAAUUCUCCAGGCCAGAAUACUGGAGUGGGUAGCCUUUCCCUUCUCCAGGGGAUCUUCCCUACCCAGGGAUCGAACCCAGGUCUCCUGCUUUGCAAGCAGAUUCUUUACCAGCUGAGCCACAAGGGAAGCCCAAGAAUACUGGAGUGGGUGGCCUAUCCCUUCUCCAGCGGAUCUUCCCGACCCAGGAAUUAACCCGGGGUCUCUCGCAUUGCAGUCAGAUUCUUUUACCAGCUGAGCCACAAAGAGAAUACUGCGGUAUUGCAGCAGUCACUUCCCUGCUCUGCCCAGCCAGGACCAUCCUGUUAAACAUCAGUCAGGUCUUGUUAUCCCUCCGCUUAAAGUCCUCUGAAGGCUGCCUUGUCACUUAGAACAAAAGCCAGUGCCUUAUCCCACAAAGCUGAUGGGAUCUGGCCCCUCACAUCCCCUACCAUCUCUUCCUAACCUAACUCCUCCUUCUUCCUCAUUCUGAAGUACCAUUGACAUUCCCGCCCCAGGGCCUUUGCACUUUCUAUUCCCUCCGCCUGGCACUCUCUGCUCCUGAAAUCCAAGCCCUCCUCCAGGGGAUCUUCCCAACCCAGGGAUCCAACCCAAGUCUCCCGCAGCUCCUGCGUAGAAGGCAGAAGUUUUACCGCUGAGCCAUAGGGGACGCCCCCUUGAGGCCGGCAGCACCUGACAUGGUUUUCUGACAGCUGGACAGGCCCUGGGCUGCUGCCGCCUCCUCUUACCCGCCCCUCCCCUUGCCCUGAAAGGUGAGUCAAGUAUGAGGAGUGGGUAGAGAAACCACUGGCUCAACUCUCAGCUACAGGGUUUCCACUGUUCCCAGAGCUACUGUGGGCUGGGCUACCCACGAGGGGCCGGCCUUCCGGACACACAGUCUUGGAGUCAGAGUGGGGGAGGGGGUGUGGGGGGGCUCGGGGGAGGUAGGAGGCGGGGAUAAGCUUGGCCACUCCCCAAGCUGGGGCGGUGACCUAACACAAUGUCUGUGCUCUCUGUGAACGUGUUUCCUCCUUGAUAAGAUGAGGACCACUGUCCAUGUUCCCUGGGGAACUUGUCUUCUUGCAGUGCCCAUCGAAACUGGUAAGUCUGGUUUUUUCAUUCAUUCAGCAAAAAUUUCCUGAGCACCUACUCUGUGCCGGGUACCAUUCUAGGUGCUUGGAAUACAGUGGUUAGCAAAAUAGCAUUGUUGCCCUCAUGGAGCUUAUGUUUUUUGGCAUAAACAGCAGGCAGUUGAAUAAUGUAUAGCGUAAUGUCAAGUGGUGAAAAAAUCCCUGAGGAAAAAGUAAAUACAGAAAAAAUAGCGAUUGGGGGGUGAUCUUUGGAGUGGGAUGCUCAGAGAGGGUGAUGGGAGAGGAGGAGAUAGUAUUGAGCACUCAGCUGAGUACUGAAAAGGUACAGGCCUCAGGUCCCAGGGAUCUCAGGAGCAGAGAGCGCCAGGCAGAGGAAAUAGAACGUGCAAAGGCCCUGGGGCGGGAAUGUCAAUGGUACUUCAGGAUGAGGAAGAAGGAGGAGUUAGGUUAGGAAGAGAUGGUAGGGGAUGUGAAGGGCAAGAUCCCAUCAGCUUUGUGGGUUAAGGCACUGGCUUUUGUUCUGAGUGAGAAGGGAGCCUUCAGAGGACUUUAAGUGGAGGAACAAGACCUGACUGAUGUUCAACAGGAUGGUCCUGGCUGGGCGGAGCAGGGGAGUAAUGCGGUGAUGGCUGCUGCAGUAACGCAGGGGAAACACGGUGGCAGCUGGGCCCCAGGGUGGGGGUCGGGGUAGGAAAAGGUCAGAUUCUGGAUGUGUUCUGAGUGAGAUUUGAGCACUCGGGACCCCCCCCCUCCACACUAGCCUGCCUCCUAGGUCCCACCCCUGGAGUUGUCUCCUAGCUCUCCAUCCCUAACAGGGAUGGGCCUGUGCUUGGCCUUUCUGUGGGAAGGUCCUGAUGGGGAGCCAGUCUUGCUCCUGGCUGGCGCCUGGCAUGGCCAGGGCAGGGCUGCAUCAGCUGCCAAAGGAAACUUCCUCCCCAGAAAGAGGGCAGGGGAUGUCGGGUAUGGAUGCCUAGGCACACACACUGCUUCAUUCAUUGGACAAAUAUUUACUGAGCAUUUACGACGCAGGAACAGCUCUGAACAAAACAGACAAAGCUCCUGACCCCACGGAGCAUCCACUUUUGUGGAGGGAGAGAGACGCCAAACAGGUAAGUGAGUGAGUGAUACAGUUCAUCAGAGUUCGGUGAAGUGCUAUGAAGAAAUAUAAGGCAGGGAGGUGGGAUUGGAGGUACUCCACUCCAACACUCCAUCUUCUUUACCUGCUCAGCUUUCCUUGUCUUCCACGGCACUUGGGUCCUUCUAAUAUUCUAUAUGAAUGAUUUCCUUAUUAAAUUUAAAGUUAACUUUCUGCAUGCUCCCUCCUGGGUCUCCUGCAGGAAAAGACACCCCAUCAGAGCCAGGCUCUUUGAGUCUGGUCUAUGAGUUCACAGCAUGAAUGAGUGGGAUGGGAGGGGUGAGGAGGAGAGCAGUCCCCUCCCCCACCCAGAACCUUCCUACCCUUAGACCGGCAGCUCCAGUCCAGCAAAGGGACAAGGGGGGCGGUCCUCUUCACUCCCUACCUGGUCACCCAGGCUGGGUGUUGGCAGGUGGGUGGGAUGGUGCAACCUGGGUUAUACUGGGCACAAGCUCGUCCUGGAGCCCACCAGGAGUCCUCCUGCAGUGCCGGGGCAGUAGGGACAGAAGUCUCGUCUCUGCCCUCCACCCCAUUCUCUGCCACCCCCCAGGAUCAAGGGCAAAGGCGUUUAAUUCUGCACGAAGUCCAAGCCAGUAUCACAGGUCUGGGGUCUUCAAGGCCGACAGCUCUCACACUGCUCUAGAAGGGAGGGGAGAGUCUGCUUGGCACCUGCUCUCCUGUAUUUCUCCCCAUCUGAUGUAAUUGCUUUAUCCUUACUGAAAACCUGUGACAGGGAGGCUUGGACUGAUGCGCCCGCUGAGACCCUAAUGCUUUCCCAAGCCCCCUCAGCGCACUGCAGAGAUGCUGGCAAAAUGGGUCGGCCCAGCUUCAGGGUCAAAAGGCAAGGAGGGGUGUGGGGGGUUGGGACAAGAGAUUGGCAGGUGGGCCCAGAACAGGAAGGUCUGGGAACUUUGUCACAACCGCCUGGUGGUCUGGGCCACAGUUUCCUAAAAAUGGAGAGAGAGGGGGGUAUUUUGUGACAAAAUGCUUAAAUAAAAUGAAAAUGACUUACUUGUUUUUGGGCUUCUCAGGACCUUUAUAUGCUGAUAAGAAGUGUGAUGGUAAGAGAAGUCAGUGCAGUAUUUCUCAAACUCCUGUCCUCUUUGUGGAGGAUCUUGAGGGGCCAAGGCUCCUCGAGGUUCCUUUGAGAAAUGCUGGUUUAUGUCCACAGCCAUCUGAGAUAUGAGGCUUCCUGCUUCCCUCCCUUUCUGCCUCCUUCAUCUUUCCCUCUAUUUUUUUCCUCUGCUAAUCCGGCUUGCAUAAGACUACCCCAUUAAGUCAUAGAAAAACACUUGACUCUGCUGUGGGCGUUAUGGAGCUAUUGAGUUAUGCAAAUACAAGGAAAUCAGACUUCUUCACCCAGCAUUCAAAGUUCCAGUCUGGCUUUCAAUUUAGCACCUGCAUUUCCCCUUCCUUGCUUCGACCAAACCUUUCCCCUUACCGUCCCAGGAUAGCUGUGAACUUUUGCUUUGAGCCUUUGCUUUGCUAGACUAUCCCACUUUCCUUCUUUUAGGUCACCUCCUUCAAGUAGCCUUCCCUGAUUAUCCCAGACUUGCCUCAGAAGUUUUAGGUUCAAAAUUGAGAGGAAGGUGCAGAGAGUUCCUGUACAUCCCGUGUUUCCAGCCUGGCACAGUCAGCCCGUUUUCAACGUCCGAGCCGUAGAGCUGCAUUUGUUACAAUCAGCGAGCCUACACUGACACUUUGUAAUCACCCUGAGUCCAUAGUGUACACGAGGGUUUAUUCUUGGUGUUGUACAUGCUAUGGGCUUGGACAAAUGUAUAAUGACAUGUAUGCGUCAUUAUAGCAUCACACAGAGUAUUUUCACUGCCCUAAAAAUUCUGUGCAUUCUGCCUAGUCAUGCCUCCCAUAAACCCUGGCAACCACUGAUCUUUUUACUGUGUCCAUAGUUUUGCCUUUUCCAAAAUGUCAUAUGGUGGGAUUUAAGCAAUAUGUCUCCUUUUCAGAUCGGCUUCUCUCACUUACUGAUAUACAUUUAAGUUUCCUUCUAGUCUUUUCACGGCUUGAUAACUCAUUUCUUUUUUAACACCGAAUGCGCCACUGUCUGAAGGUACCGCAGUUUAUCCAUUUACCUACUGGAGGACAUCUCGGUUGCUUCCAAGUUUUGGCAAUUACAGAUGAGCAGACUAAGGUCCAGAGUAAAGUGACUUGCCCACUCUCAGAGAGCUACUGGAAUAAUCAUUGCUAACAUAACAGAGAACCCUAACCCUGUGCCAGACGCUGUUCCCUCAAUACCAAUGAACACAUUUCCUUCUCUUGACAACUCCAAGAGCCAGGGAGGGGGCAGUGAUUACCCCCAGUUCACAGAUGGGGAAGCCCGAGGCCCAGACAGGUGAUGGGAGAUGCCCAUGGGUCCACCUGGAAUCUCCCUGCCACUCGUGCUGAGUCCUCUGCCUGGAAAGCGCUUCCUCAGCCUCCAUUCAAAUGGCUUCAAGCUUGCUGGCUGGAGAUCAUUUACAGAAAGGUCGUUGGGAAUUAACACAUCCCUACGGCCAGGGAAUUCAGCUUGCAGUUGAGAAUGAAGAGAUGCUGUGCUUAACACAAUGGAAGAUGUGCUAAUGGCGGACUUGCUGGCAUUGGACAACGGGUCACCAGUAGAGAGCGAACCUGCAAAAUCCAUCCUCAACCCCAGGUCCUCUGUCUCUCUCUCUUCCUGUGACCUUACCCUGUGGCCCUGAGCAUGUCAUGUGCCCUCAAGGGGCAAGUAAUAAGUCUUGGUUUUUCCCAAAGUUCCCUG
ensembl:lncRNA